rnacentral:rRNA from 1 species
GUAGGGAAUAUUGGGCAAUGGAUGCAAGUCUGACCCAGCCAUCCCGCGUGCCGGAAGAAGGCCCUCAGGGUUGUAAACGGCUUUUGAUGGUGAAGAAUCGACAGGAUGCGUCCUGUUUUGACGGUAGCCGUUGAAUAAGCACCGGCUAACUCCGUGCCAGCAGCCGCGGUAAUACGGAGGGUGCGAGCGUUGUCCGGAUUUAUUGGGUUUAAAGGGUGCGUAGGCUGGAAGGUCAGUCAGCGGUGAAAAGCUGUCGCUUAACGAUAGUCUUGCCGCAGAUACUUCCUUUCUUGGAUGAGGAGGAGGCCACUGGAACGGAUGGUGUAGCGGUGAAAUGCAUAGAUAUCAUCCAGAACACCGAUUGCGAAGGCAGGUGGCUGUACCUUAAUCGACGCUGAUGCACGAAAGCAUGGGGAGCAAACAGGAUUAGAAACCCCAGUAGUCC